AUUUAACGCUGGCGGCAGGCUUAACACAUGCAAGUCGAGCGAGCGGCGGACGGGUGAGUAAUCUCUGGGAAACUGCCUGCUGGAGGGGGAUAACUCCUGGAAACGGUAGAUAAUAACGCAUACCAUCAGACGUGUCCAGAUGGGAUUAACUAGUUGUUGGGGUAAGGGCUCACAUAGGUGACGAAACCUAGCUGGUCUGAGAGGAUGACCAGUCACGCGUGAACUGAGACACGGUCCAGACUCGUACGGGAGGCGGCAGUGGGGAUUAUUGCACAAUGGGCGCAAGCCUGAUGCAGCUAUGCCGCGUGUGGGAAGAAGGCCUUCGGGUUGUAAAGCACUUUAAUCGAGGAGGCGUUACUCGCAGAAGAAGCACCGGCUAAAGCCGUGCCAGCAGCCGCGGUGAUUC
rnacentral:rRNA from 1 species